rnacentral:rRNA from 1 species
UGGGGAAUAUUGCACAAUGGGCGCAAGCCUGAUGCAGCCGUGCCGCGUGUGUGAAGAAGGCCUUCGGGUUGUAAAGCACUUUCAGCGAGGAGGAAGGUGGUGAACUUAAUACGUUCAUCAAUUGACGUUACUCGCAGAAGAAGCACCGGCUAACUCCGUGCCAGCAGCCGCGGUAAUACGGAGGGUGCAAGCGUUAAUCGGAAUUACUGGGCGUAAAGCGCACGCAGGCGGUUUGUUAAGUCAGAUGUGAAAUCCCCGGGCUCAACCUGGGAACUGCAUUUGAAACUGGCAAGCUAGAGUCUCGUAGAGGGGGGUAGAAUUCCAGGUGUAGCGGUGAAAUGCGUAGAGAUCUGGAGGAAUACCGGUGGCGAAGGCGGCCCCCUGGACGAAGACUGACGCUCAGGUGCGAAAAGCGUGGGGAGCAAAACAGGAUUAGAUACCCUGGUAGUCCACGCUGUAAAACGAUGUCGAUUUUGGAGGUUGUGCCCUUGAGGCGUGGCUUCCGGAGCUAACGCGUUAAAAUCGACCGCCUGGGGAGUACGGCCGCAAAGGUUAAAAACUUAAAAGGAAUUGACGGAGUCAUAGCUGUUUCCUG